rnacentral:rRNA from 1 species
GACGAACGCUGGCGGCGUGCUUAACACAUGCAAGUCGAACGGAAAGGCCCUGCUUUUGUGGGGUGCUCGAGUGGCGAACGGGUGAGUAAGACGUGAGUAACCUGCCCUUGACUUUGGGAUAACUUCAGGAAACUGGGGCUAAUACCGGAUAGGAGCUCCUGCUGCAUGGUGGGGGUUGGAAAGUUUCGGCGGUUGGGGAUGGACUCGCGGCUUAUCAGCUUGUUGGUGGGGUAGUGGCUUACCAAGGCUUUGACGGGUAGCCGGCCUGAGAGGGUGACCGGCCACAUUGGGACUGAGAUACGGCCCAGACUCCUACGGGAGGCAGCAGUGGGGAAUAUUGCACAAUGGGCGGAAGCCUGAUGCAGCAACGCCGCGUGCGGGAUGACGGCCUUCGGGUUGUAAACCGCUUUCGCCCGUGACGAAGCGUGAGUGACGGUAAUGGGUAAAGAAGCACCGGCUAACUACGUG